rnacentral:rRNA from 1 species
GACGAACGCUGGCGGCGUGCUUAACACAUGCAAGUCGAACGGAAAGGCCCUGCUUUUGUGGGGUGCUCGAGUGGCGAACGGGUGAGUAACACGUGAGUAACCUGCCCUUGACUUUGGGAUAACUUCAGGAAACUGGGGCUAAUACCGGAUAGGAGCUCCUGCUGCAUGGUGGGGGUUGGAAAGUUUCGGCGGUUGGGGAUGGACUCGCGGCUUAUCAGCUUGUUGGUGGGGUAGUGGCUUACCAAGGCUUUGACGGGUAGCCGGCCUGAGAGGGUGACCGGCCACAUUGGGACUGAGAUACGGCCCAGACUCCUACGGGAGGCAGCAGUGGGGAAUAUUGCACAAUGGGCGGAAGCCUGAUGCAGCAACGCCGCGUGCGGGAUGACGGCCUUCGGGUUGUAAACCGCUUUCGCCUGUGACGAAGCGUGAGUGACGGUAAUGGGUAAAGAAGCACCGGCUAACUACGUGCCAGCAGCCGCGGUGAUACGUAGGGUGCGAGCGUUGUCCGGAUUUAUUGGGCGUAAAGGGCUCGUAGGUGGUUGAUCGCGUCGGAAGUGUAAUCUUGGGGCUUAACCCUGAGCGUGCUUUCGAUACGGGUUGACUUGAGGAAGGUAGGGGAGAAUGGAAUUCCUGGUGGAGCGGUGGAAUGCGCAGAUAUCAGGAGGAACACCAGUGGCGAAGGCGGUUCUCUGGGCCUUUCCUGACGCUGAGGAGCGAAAGCGUGGGGAGCGAACAGGCUUAGAUACCCUGGUAGUCCACGCUGUAAACGGUGGGUACUAGGUGUGGGGUCCAUUCCACGGGUUCCGUGCCGUAGCUAACGCUUUAAGUACCCCGCCUGGGGAGUACGGCCGCAAGGCUAAAACUCAAAGGAAUUGACGGGGCCCCGCACAAGCGGCGGAGCAUGCGGAUUAAUUCGAUGCAACGCGUAGAACCUUACCUGGGUUUGACAUGGAUCGGGAGUGCUCAGAGAUGGGUGUGCCUCUUUUGGGGUCGGUUCACAGGUGGUGCAUGCCUGUCGUCAGCUCGUGUCGUGAGAUGUUGGGUUAAGUCCCGCAACGAGCGCAACCCUUGUUCACUGUUGCCAGCACGUUAUGGUGGGGACUCAGUGGAGACCGCCGGGGUCAACUCGGAGGAAGGUGGGGAUGGCGUCAAGUCAUCAUGCCCCUUAUGUCCAGGGCUUCACGCAUGCUACAAUGGCUGGUACAGAGAGUGGCGAGCCUGUGAGGGUGAGCGAAUCUCGGAAAGCCGGUCUCAGUUCGGAUUGGGGUCUGCAACUCGACCUCAUGAAGUCGGAGUCGCUAGUAACCGCAGAUCAGCAACGCUGCGGUGAAUACGUUCCCGGG